GACGAACUCUGGCGGCGUGCUUAACACAUGCAAGUCGAACGGAAAGGCCUUGCUUGGCUGCUACUCCACUGGUGAACAGCUGAUUAACACCUGGGUGAUCAUCCCUGCUCUUCUUCAUAAUCCUGUUAAACUGCUUCUACUACCACAUAAUAGCCCUUUUUAUUGUGAUGGUUGGAAAAUUUUUUCUUCGUAGGAUGAUCUCCUCGCCUAUCAUCUUGUUGGUGGGGUAAUGAUCUACUACCGCGGCGACGACUAGCCGGCCUGAUAAGAUGGACGACCGCCUUGUUACUAAUAUACUGCCCACACUACUCCUGCAGGAAGCAGUGGUGAAUAUUGUUCAAUGGUGGCAAGACUGAUGCUGCAACGCCGCCUGGUGGAUGACGAACUUCUUCUUGUAAACUCCUUUCUUUAACGACGACGAUUUUUGUGACACUACCUAUAUAAAAAACACCCCCUAUCUAUAUGUCACCACCCCCGCUAAUACAUAUGGUGCGAGAGUUGUCUCGGAAUUACUGUGCGUAUAGGGAUCUCAUAUGGGUUGUCUCGUCUCCUCUGAAAUUCUCGGGCUUAUCUCCGCGCGUGUACGCGAUAUACGCAUUAAUUGAAUACUGUAAGGGUAAAUCGAAUUUCUUGUGUAACCGUGAAAUGCCCCAAUAUCAAGAAGAACACCCAAUGGCAAAGCAAGGUAUUGGGCAGUUACUGACGCUGAGGAGCGAAAGCAUGGGUAGCGAACAGGAUUAGAUACCCUGGUAGUCCAUGCCGUAAACGGUGGGCGCUAAGUGUGAGGGUGUUUUCACGUCUUUCGUGCCGUAGCUAACGCAUUAAGCGCCCCGCCUGGGGAGUACGGCCGCAAGGCUAAAACUCAAAGGAAUUGACGGGGGCCCGCACAAGCGGCGGAGCAUGUGGAUUAAUUCGAUGCAACGCGAAGAACCUUACCUGGGCUUGACAUACAGUGGAUCGCUGCAGAGAUGUAGUUUCCCUUUGUGGUUGGUGUACAGGUGGUGCAUGGUUGUCGUCAGCUCGUGUCGUGAGAUGUUGGGUUAAGUCCCGCAACGAGCGCAACCCUUGUCUUAUGUUGCCAGCAUUUGGUUGGGGACUCAUGAGAGACUGCCGGGGUCAACUCGGAGGAAGGUGGGGAUGACGUCAAAUCAUCAUGCCCCUUAUGUCCAGGGCUUCACACAUGCUACAAUGGUCGGUACAACGCGCAGCGACACUGUGAGGUGGAGCGAAUCGCUGAAAGCCGGCCUUAGUUCGGAUUGGGGUCUGCAACUCGACCCCAUGAAGUCGGAGUCGCUAGUAAUCGCAGAUCAGCAACGCUGCGGUGAAUACGUUCCCGGGCCU
rnacentral:rRNA from 1 species